GAGGAUGAGUACCUCCGCAGGAGGUUCGAGCCUCGCGAAGCGAGACAACGUUGCUUCAGCAACGGCCCGCAGGGCGCGCAUCCAAGAUGCGCGUAAUCCUC
rnacentral:sRNA from 1 species